rnacentral:rRNA from 1 species
GUACGGGGGGGGCAAGCGUUGUUCGGAAUUACUAGGCGUAAAGGGCUCGUAGGCGGCCAACUAAGUCGGAUGUGAAAUCCCCAGGCUUAACCUGGGAACUGCAUCCGAUACUGGAUGGCUUGAAUUCGGGAGAGGGAUGCAGAAUUCCAGGUGUAGCGGUGAAAUGCGUAGAUAUCUGGAGGAACACCGGUGGCGAAGGCGGCAUCCUGGACCAACACUGACGCUGAGGAGCGAAAGCCAGGGGAGCAAACGGG